GGUAAGGUGGCUGAGCGUUUAGCGGUGGAUUGUAGCCCCAUGGACAGAGGUUAAAGUCCUCUUCUUACCA
rnacentral:tRNA from 1 species